rnacentral:lncRNA from 1 species
GGCCGUUGCAUUCUUGUUGAUGUAGUUUGCAUCUCCAUCUCCUCCUACCAUGAUAGUUGGUGACUAGCCAUUCGCGGCUGGAGCUCUUCGAUAUUGCAUCCUUCUCCGUCAAUUUACAUCAGUAUGUGUCAAAUUAAACUUAUUGGCAGGUGCAUUCGAGUGAGAGCUAUCGACACUUGAGUGCUGACCAUAUCUAAACUUAUUCCAGAUUUCGGACUAGGAGAAGCUUUCCGCCCUGUAAGUGUAUAGAUGUAUUCCAGAGCAAGGAAAAAAAAACACCAAGUGAGAUGUAUUCCUUGCCAUUUUACUAAGCAGGUGCAUUCAUAUUCUUUUUAUGUCCUGUUUGACAAUGUAUAUAAUUGAUUGCUUUGAAAUGCCUACAUUACGAGAGUACAAUAAAGUACGUUGAGAAUAUUGUUCUUGAUUGAGUAAAAAAACUGAUUUAACUCAUGCUUUUGUGUAUAUUUUUUUUGCGGGUAAACUCAUGCUUUUGUGUUGACAUACACUCACAUUAUGGAUUGAAGUUCUCAUGAUGGUAAUGAUGCAUGUGCAAGGGCCGUAUAGGUCAUACAUAGGUCUAAUUAACAAAUCACAGAAAGGAGAGGAGGAAGCUGAGCAACACUCCUUUUUCUAUUUGGAACCUGCACCAUUUAUUGGGUAUGUAGGAAAUUAUUUUUUGCCUCUAUUGGUUGUACCUUAUUCUGUAUUGUACUGCCAGUACCAUGGCAUACCAAUUGUUUGGAUAGAUCAAAAGGCAAGCUAAAGAUCAAUUAGAUAAAUGCUACUUACUCGCACAUCUCACAUCUCAUUUAGCUUUAUACAUACCUUGUAUCAGCAUUUCUUGAAAACACAUUUAUGCAGUCACACAUCUCACCUUGGUUUUUUUUUUAAUUUUGCUUGGUUGGAACUGUAUACAUUUGCGUUGUCUAACUAGUAAUGCUCGCUGAUUGAAUUUGCAGCAUUUGAAUCCUCCUCAGAAGAGAACACGGCAUUAGCUAGUGCCAAAAUGCCAACACAACUUGGCCAUGCUUCUAUCAAGUUGCCUUGGUCCAAUCCUUCCAAGCUUCUUCAUCUAUAACAAACAUCAAUCCUGGGAGCACUAGUCAAAGAGUCGGUGUUCUACGGUCUAGCAAAAAGAUAUAGAGGAAGUCACUGCCACUACUCCUACCAGAAGAUUAAUUUUAAGAAUAAAAUUUCUUGUUCUAGCUGCUGAUUAAUUGCCACUGAAUUUAUCCACAUGUUAAUGUCAUAAUUGUUAUUGCUCUGCUACUUAGUUGCAGUAGAUUUUUUGUUUUCGAAAGAGG